AUGGCCCCGAAGGCAGCCGAGAAGAAGCCGGUGGAGAAGACCCCGGCGGGCAAGAAGCCCAAGGCGGAGAAGAAGGUGCCGGCGUCCAAGGAGGGCGGGGACAAGAAGGGCAAGAAGAAGGCCAAGAAGAGCGUGGAGACCUACAAGAUCUACAUCUUCAAGGUGCUGAAGCAGGUGCACCCGGACAUCGGCAUCUCCUCCAAGGCCAUGUCCAUCAUGAACUCCUUCAUCAACGACAUCUUCGAGAAGCUGGCCGGCGAGUCCGCCAAGCUGGCGCGCUACAACAAGAAGCCCACCAUCACGUCCCGGGAGAUCCAGACCUCCGUCCGCCUCGUCCUCCCCGGCGAGCUCGCCAAGCACGCCGUCUCCGAGGGCACCAAGGCCGUCACCAAGUUCACCUCCGCCUGA
rnacentral:rRNA from 1 species